rnacentral:rRNA from 1 species
GGUUACUGCUAUCGGUGUUCGCUUAAGCCAUGCGAGUCAUAUGUUCUUCGGAACAUGGCGUACUGCUCAGUAACACGUGGAUAACCUGCCCUUGGGUCCGGCAUAACCCCGGGAAACUGGGGAUAAUUCCGGAUAACGCACAUAUGCUGGAAUGCUUUAUGCGUCAAAUGGAUUCGUCCGCCCAAGGAUGGGUCUGCGGCCUAUCAGGUAGUAGUGGGUGUAAUGUACCUACUAGCCUACGACGGGUACGGGUUGUGAGAGCAAGAGCCCGGAGAUGGAUUCUGAGACAUGAAUCCAGGCCCUACGGGGCGCAGCAGGCGCGAAAACUUUACAAUGCGGGAAACCGUGAUAAGGGGACACCGAGUGCCAGCAUCAUAUGCUGGCUGUCCGGGUGUGUGAAUACAUCUGUAGCAAGGGCCGGGCAAGACCGGUGCCAGCCGCCGCGGUAACACCGGCGGCCCGAGUGGUGAUCGUGAUUAUUGGGUCUAAAGGGUCCGUAGCCGGUUUGGUCAGUCCUCCGGGAAAUCUGACGGCUUAACCGUUAGGCUUUCGGGGGAUACUGCCAGACUUGGAACCGGGAGAGGUAAGAGGUACUACAGGGGUAGGAGUGAAAUCUUGUAAUCCCUGUGGGACCACCUGUGGCGAAGGCGUCUUACCAGAACGGGUUCGACGUUGAGGGACGAAAGCUGGGGGCACGAACCGGAUUAGAUACCCGGGUAGUCCCAGCCGU